rnacentral:rRNA from 1 species
AUAUUGGACAAUGGGCGCAAGCCUGAUUCAGCCAUGCCGCGUGAGUGAAGAAGGCCUUCGGGUUGUAAAGCUCUUUCGGACGGAAAGAAAUCGCGCGGGCUAAUACCCUGCGCGGAUGACGUUACCGUCAUAUGAAGCCCCGCCUACCCGCGUGCCAGCAGCCGCGGUAAUACGUAGGGGGCGAGCGUUAAUCGGAAUUACUGGGGGUAAAGCGGGCGCAGGCGGUUGAUUAAGACAGGCGUGAAAAACCCGGGCGUAACCUGGGAACUGCGCUUGUGACUAGUCAGCUAGAGUACGGCAGAGGGGGGUGGAAUUCCACGUGUAGCAGUGAAAUGCGUAGAGAUGUGGAGGAACACCGAUGGCGAAGGCAGCCCCCUGGGCCGAUACUGACGCUCAUGCACGAAAGCGUGGGUAGCAAACAGG